CUUUUGCUCAAACUUCGAAUUACUAUUUUAGACAUAGGAACACUGCAGAACAGGAACUGAGUCAUGCACUGAAGACUAUAGAAAUAGAGAACCAUGAGAGUGCAGGAAUUCCUAGCUCUGUGACUCCUCUCAGUCCCUUGGUGUCUUUUUCAGCCAUUCCUUCUUGUUUCUAUAAAAAAAUAAACCAUUCCUUUUAUAUUUAGAAAUACCAAACAAGAAAACCACCCCCUUAUUUCCUUAAGAGAGAACUAAAUUUAAAGAUGUUAUUUUUGUCAUAUCACUGAAAUAGCUUUUCCAUAAAUACAAAGGCCAUAAUGAGGCUUUGAAAGCCCAAGAAGAGGAACUUGGGAUCAGCAGCUUCUGUGGGACAUUCUCUGAGAUUGGGGGACUGCUUGUACUAAGCUUUAUAGUGGACCUUCACGUUCUGAGUUUCUGAAAUGUUGGUGAUGUCUGAGAAAGGGAAGAUAAAUCAUGCUGCCACUGCUCUCUGCACACCCACCUCUGCAAAGUAUCUAAGCAACAAAGCAGAUGCAGAGUACAAAAUCAAUGCAAAUCACCUCUAUAAUGAAAUCUUACACAUCAAUUGGAAAAUCUGUGGCCUGAUCCCAGGAUAGCUAGAGUUUGUUGAUGUGUUGCAGCACUACAUUCUGCAAAUAGAGUCACUAAAGAGAAGGAACAAACUAGACAUUAAAAAGCAGGAUCCUUACCAACAAACAAGGAAGAAAUCGAGUUUUGGAUCUCAGACAUCAUCCUGAGAAACACUGUUUACACACAUUAAAGGAAGAGGGAGACAAACAAAAUAAUGAAAAUAUUUGUUUUUGCCAGUCCUACUUAGCCAAGAAAGAAGCAGAAACGGAUCACAGCCAGAACACGCUGUACCCAGUGCUUGCUGGCUGAUGAUCGCCUUCUAUAAAAUUAACCCAUCUGACCUAAUGCUCCACCUCAGCCCUACAACAUCUGCUGGCAAGCAGAGGAGCUCCCUAUGUAAAGACAAUUAACUCCAUGGCAGAGCAAGGCAAGCAGGCAGAAAGAAAAGGCAGGAGUCCCUGUUGUCUCUGUGGGGCAUUGGGAGUGGCAGUACCACUGGCACAGACCCUGGGCACAGCUGACCCCGCUUCACUCCCCGCAUAGCAAGCGCCCCAAACCAGUCAUGCAUCAAAACAGGCAGAAGGAAACAAGAGAAAAAAUGGUGAGCGAAGGUAAACCAAGGCCUUUUCUCUAAACUUUCACAGUACCCACUUAUCUAGGGCACAGUUUCAAGCUGAUGUCAGUGUCAUCCUUUUCACCAGAAAGUCUGACUUGUGUCGUACUAUUCCAGAAUUAUGUCUCUUUUAGCUUCGGCACAGUGUGCCUGAAGUAAAACUGCAGAGUGCUCUGUUUGUUAUGUGCCUUUUCCCAAGACUACAUCAGACCUCCAAUAUGUGCAAUAACAUCAGGAAAUACACAUUUUGAUGAUUUGCCUUUGCUUGAAAAUACUCUCACAGCUACAGCACACAGAGGAAGAAGGAGGUGGUGAUGAUUCAAUGAGAGGCCAAAGAGUAAGAGAAGAAAAUCUCUUGGGGAAGAAAGGAACUAAUGAACAAAAGUUGGGAACAGAAAGAAGACUGUUAUGCCACAAAUAUAAAAUGUAUAGUCACAUAAGCUCAUAGGAAAGAAAAUGAAAGCUGACGUCCUACAAUGCUAGAUUGAUUAGGGAGGGCUUGGAACAUGACCAAGGUCUGGUAAUGGCAUGGGAAAUCAUUUCAAAGGAGAAAGAACCUCACACUCUGCUACGGGGGACUGCAGCAGUACAAUAACACACGGAGAGGAUGUUGGAGAGCUGCCAUGGAGUCUGUGCAGGGAGGAAGCAAAACCAGAUGACAAUGUGUGUGGUUAUAAUGGAUACCUGCACGGGCUGUGAAGGACUUGUACUGUCAGCAACCUGACAGGUGCUGGAUCUGAGUGCACAAGGGCUGGCCUCCCAUUUGCUGUUCUGCCCCAUUUGCUCAGAUACCUCCCAGCAACUUCCUGUAGGGCCAAAAAAUGACAGCAUAACAGUGCAAUAGGUAUUACCAGAAUCCUGAAUAUUUUCUUCUCUUUAUUUUUUGUUCAUUUUCUCUGUCUAGCCAAGGGCCGAGUUUAUAAUUUCUUUGAUAUUACAGUUGCAACAAAAAUAAAUAUCCCUUAAUAGUAAUUUUAUUUGUACCUUUGUAUAUGUACAUUUGUACAUACAGAGCUUUGUACCUCUCUCUGCAUGAACGUGUGAGCCAAGCAAUCCACAUGUAUUUGCAUCUCAUUUUCACAGCACUUCUAUGCUGACAGAGGCAAGCAGUCUGAGAAAUGAAUAGCAGCCCAGGAAAAUCAAGGAGUUUUAUCUUUAACAACAAAAGAGGAAGAUUUUGACCUGAAUCUUCAGCAAAUUCCUAUUUCCAUGGUGCCCAGUUUAAAGGAGUGUGAUACAAUCCAUUUCAAGCAAGGAAUAAGGAAGAUUCAAUUGCAAACAUAAAUAUACCCUAAACUGGUAGUCAUACUGAGAGUGCAGAGUAUGCUAUACCUCUACGGAUAGGAAAAUACAAUGGUCAGAAUUUGUGUCAUCUCAUCUGCAUAACAUUGCCACAUGUUGGAACACUUCGAUAUACUCCACAUGGGGUCAAACCUCCCUACAUGCCUCUACAAUGUGCACGUGGGCAGAUGUGUUGGCUGCCACUCGGAGGGCAAAUUUAGGCUGUAUGAACAUGCCUUCCAACCAUAAUUCAGGUUUUUGGUCAGUUAGAAGCUAGGAGUAAACACCUAACAAUGGCAAGAAGGAUAAAAUAUCCUUUGUUACUACAGAGAAAUCCAACUAGACUUUUCUUUCUAACAAAUGCAGUAAGAUACUCAGAAUCUAACACACAAGAAACCUCAAGGUUUAGUUCAGAAGGAAUGGCAAUUUGAGCAUUAAGAAAAUAUGGGCCAAUACCACUUGCCCUAGUAGUCCUAUGGCAGAAGACAUCAGUCAUGAAAGAGCUCACUUUGCUACCUUCUUCUUAAAAGCACCAAACCCUUACAAACACUGAAUGCUACCCUAUGUUUAUGAUGACUUAAUAGUAUUAGAAAGGCAAAUAAUCUGAAAGAGAGAUGGAUGUAGCCAAAUAGACUGGAAAGUCAGCUUCCUGCAAAUAUCAUAUUAUUUGGAACAAGAAAAUGAAAAAAAAUAAUAAUAAAAGUCUGUGAUAUCCCUAUAACUUCCAAUAAUUUAGAAGAUGGUAAUUUAUUCAGGUUUCUUUUCUUGGGCUUACAUAUUUGGGGUAAUGUUGAUAAAUCUCUAACUAUUAAUUACAAAUUCAAAAUGAAUCUCACUUGGUUUUGCAGAAAUCUUUUUGAAUUUGCUUUCCAUUCUACAUCUGUUUUGUAUUUAUCUCAAUUUGAUUAAAAAGUAGCGUUUCAGAACUCAGAGUUUCUGUAAAGACUGUCAACAUUCAUCAGCUUGAGAAUAUAUUCCAUGAAGAAAUAAUAUUU
ensembl:lncRNA